rnacentral:rRNA from 1 species
AUUGAACGCUGGCGGCAGGCUUAACACAUGCAAGUCGAGCGGGGUGAUGGUGCUUGCACUAUCACUCAGCGGCGGACGGGUGAGUAAUGCUUAGGAAUCUGCCUAUUAGUGGGGGACAACAUCUCGAAAGGGAUGCUAAUACCGCAUACGUCCUACGGGAGAAAGCAGGGGAUCACUUGUGACCUUGCGCUAAUAGAUGAGCCUAAGUCGGAUUAGCUAGUUGGUGGGGUAAAGGCCUACCAAGGCGACGAUCUGUAGCGGGUCUGAGAGGAUGAUCCGCCACACUGGGACUGAGACACGGCCCAGACUCCUACGGGAGGCAGCAGUGGGGAAUAUUGGACAAUGGGGGGAACCCUGAUCCAGCCAUGCCGCGUGUGUGAAGAAGGCCUUAUGGUUGUAAAGCACUUUAAGCGAGGAGGAGGCUCUUUUGGUUAAUACCCAAGAUGAGUGGACGUUACUCGCAGAAUAAGCACCGGCUAACUCUGUGCCAGCCGCCGCGGUAAUAC